rnacentral:rRNA from 1 species
AACGAACGCUGGCGGCAGGCCUCAAACAUGCAAGUCGAGCGCCCAGCAAUGGGAGCGGCGGACGGGUGAGUAUCGCGUGGGAAUGUACCUAGUGGUUCGGAACAACUCAUGGAAACGUGAGCUAAUACCGGAUGAGCCCGUAAGGGGAAAGAUUCAUCGCCAUUAGAUCAGCCCGCGUCUGAUUAGCUAGUUGGUAGGGUAACGGCCUCACCAAGGCGACGAUCAGUAGCUGUUCUGAGAGGAAGAUCAGCCACACUGGGACUGAGACACGGCCCAGACUCCUACGGGAGGCAGCAGUUGGGAAUCUUGGACAAUGGGCGCAAGCCUGAUCCAGCCAUGCCGCGUGAGUGAUGAAGGCCUUAGGGUUGUAAAGCUCUUUUACCCGGGAAGACAAUGACCGUACCGGGAGGAUAAGCUCCGGCUAACUUCGUGCCAGCAGCCGCGGUAA